UGGGCUGGUGCUAAACUCAAGUUCCUC
rnacentral:piRNA from 1 species